rnacentral:pre_miRNA from 1 species
UAUAAUGUUUGGCUCUUCGUUUUAUUUAAAAAGUUUACGAUUAUAAUUUUAUUUUUAUUAGAUAAUAAAACACGAAUAGUAUUUUAUAUAUGACUAAUUUUUCUUUAAAAUUUCUAGAAUUUUUUCAAAUAAGACGAAUGGUCAAACGCUUGACACAGAAACCAAAAGGU